rnacentral:rRNA from 1 species
GACGAACGCUGGCGGCGUGCUUAACACAUGCAAGUCGAACGGAAAGGCCCUGCUUGCAGGGUACUCGAGUGGCGAACGGGUGAGUAACACGUGGGUGAUCUGCCCUGCACUUCGGGAUAAGCCUGGGAAACUGGGUCUAAUACCGGAUAGGAGCCAUUUUUAGUGUGAUGGUUGGAAAGUUUUUUCGGUGUAGGAUGAGCUCGCGGCCUAUCAGCUUGUUGGUGGGGUAAUGGCCUACCAAGGCGGCGACGGGUAGCCGGCCUGAGAGGGUGGACGGCCACAUUGGGACUGAGGUACGGCCCAGACUCCGACGGGAGGCAGCAGGGGGGAAUAUUGCACAAUGGGCGCAAGCCUGAUGCAGCGACGCCGCGUGGGGGAUGACGGCCUUCGGGUUGUAAACUCCUUUCGCUAGGGACGAAGCUUUUUGUGACGGUACCUAGAUAAGAAGCACCGGCUAACUACGUG